CACCAAGGUUCUCUCUUUCCACACACCAUACAAAAGAGGCCAUAUGAAGACACUGAGAAGUCAGGUGUCUACAAGCCAAGAAGAGAGGCCUCGCCAAAAUCCAACCCUGAUGACACUUUGAUCUUGGACUUCUAGCCUCCUGAACUGGAAAUGACACCAGCUAUUGCUGCCAACUUUCUACCAGCUUUGGAGUAGCCUGGAGGUUACUCUGGAGUAACCAGAGGGAGCCACAUAAAAGAAGGUUUCUCCCUCAUUGUCCCUCAUCUUCUAACGUUGUGAAGCGGGCAGCCCUGGGGACUUCCACUUCCAGGAAGAUGGAGCAGGCAUAAUUUUCCCUAUUUCUUCCACUAAGACUGAAAACAUGUAAAACAAACCUAAGAAGACUCUGUAAGGUGGAAAAGACACGCAGACUGGCUAAAGGACUUAGAAUCUGAGGAACAACAUGAUGGUCAUGCUGGAGCCCCAGUAAAGUCUUGCAUGUCCCUUUGACUUUUGGGUCCAGCCUGGUAGUUUCUAUUGUUGUGGGGUCCAAGAACCCGUCUCCGGUGACAGGAUUCCACCAUCAGUUUUCCUGGAUUUCCAGUUUGCAGAUGGUUGGACUUCUCAGCUUCCAUAAUCAAGUGAGCCAAUUCCAUAUAA